GAUACUAGGUGUAGGAGGUAUCGACCCCUUCUGUGCCGGAGUUAACGCAAUAAGUAUCCCGCCUGGGGAGUACGGUCGCAAGACUGAAACUCAAAGGAAUUGACGGGGGCCCGCACAAGCGGUGGAGUAUGUGGUUUAAUUCGACGCAACGCGAAGAACCUUACCAGGGCUUGACAUUGAGUGAAAGGGCAAGAGAUUGUCCCCUUAUCUUCGGAUAACACGAAAACAGGUGGUGCAUGGCUGUCGUCAG
rnacentral:rRNA from 1 species